GUUUUUUAUCAUGAUGCCGAGGUCCUGAAGGAGGGUCAGAUUGAUAAUAGUCAUCAAUUACUUGUAUACCUGAAUAUGGUGAGCAAAUAAAAUAGGACUCCAGAGAGGCAACAGUUUGCUCAAUAGGGUAGAUUGACAUUCCAACAGUGCCUCUAGUAGACUUAAAAAGUCACCACAGUUUUUACAGAACACUAGUGGGAAUAUCAAUAGAUACGAGGAGAAAACGAUUGGCACUUACC
rnacentral:lncRNA from 1 species